rnacentral:rRNA from 1 species
AGUGAACGCUGGCGGUAGGCCUAACACAUGCAAGUCGAACGGCAGCACAGUAAGAGCUUGCUCUUACGGGUGGCGAGUGGCGGACGGGUGAGGAAUACAUCGGAAUCUACUUUUUCGUGGGGGAUAACGUAGGGAAACUUACGCUAAUACCGCAUACGACCUACGGGUGAAAGCAGGGGAUCUUCGGACCUUGCGCGAUUGAAUGAGCCGAUGUCGGAUUAGCUAGUUGGCGGGGUAAAGGCCCACCAAGGCGACGAUCCGUAGCUGGUCUGAGAGGAUGAUAGGCCACACGGGAACUGAGACACGGUCCAGACUACUCCGGGAGGGAGCAGGGGGGAAUAUUGGACAAUGGGCGCAAGCCUGACCCAGCGAUCCGGCGUGGGUGAAGAAGGCCUCGGGGUUGUAAAGCCCUUUUGUGGGGAAAAAAAAGCAGCAGGUUAAUACCCCGCUGUCCUGACGGUACCCAAUAAAUAAGCACCGGCUAACUUCGUG